UACGUAGGGUGCGAGCGUUGUCCGGAAUUAUUGGGCGUAAAGAGCUCGUAGGCGGUUUGUCGCGUCGACUGUGAAAACCCGAGGCUUAACCUCGGGCCUGCAGUCGAUACGGGCAGACUAGAGUUCGGUAGGGGAGACUGGAAUUCCUGGUGUAGCGGUGAAAUGCGCAGAUAUCAGGAGGAACACCGGUGGCGAAGGCGGCGUCCUGGACCAACACUGACACUGAUGAGCGAAAGCCAGGGGAGCAAACGGG
rnacentral:rRNA from 1 species